GGGCCCGUAGCUCAACGGCAGAUUGGGGGAAACCCAAGCCGAAAGCGCCGCCUUCGCAUGCGACGGCUGGAAAAGGCGGAGGCUGCGGGUUCAAAUCCCGCCGGGUCCA
rnacentral:tRNA from 1 species